rnacentral:rRNA from 1 species
GAUGAACGCUGGCGGCGUGCCUAAUACAUGCAAGUCGAGCGAACGGACGCGGAGCUUGCUUCUCUGAUGUUAGCGGCGGACGGGUGUGUAACACGUGGAUAACCUCCCUAUCAGACUGGUAUAACUUCGGGAAACCGGAGCUAAUACCGUAUGAUCUUUUGCUCCGUAUUGUUCAUAAGUGAAAGUCGGUCUUUCUGUCACUUCUCGCUGCAUCUGCGUUGUAUUAGCUGGUUGGUCAGGUAACGGCCUACCAAGGCAACGAUGCGUAGACGACUUGAGAGAGGGAUAGGCCGCACGGGAACGGAGACACGGUCCAUGCGCCUACGGGAGGCAGCAGUAGGGUACCGGCCGCAGUGGGCGAAAGCCUUACGGAACAACGCCGAGUGAGUUAUGAAGAUCUUCGGAUCGUAAUACUGGGUUUUUAGGGAAGAACAUAUGUGUAAGUAACUGAGCACAGAUUGACGGUACCUAAUCAGAAAGCCACGGCUAACUACGUG